rnacentral:rRNA from 1 species
UACGUAGGGUCCGAGCGUUGUCCGGAAUUAUUGGGCGUAAAGGGCGCGUAGGCGGUCAGCACAAGUCAGUUGUGAAAUCUCCGGGCUUAACUCGGAAAGGUCAACUGAUACUGUGCGACUAGAGUGCAGAAGGGGCAACUGGAAUUCUCGGUGUAGCGGUGAAAUGCGUAGAUAUCGAGAGGAACACCUGCGGCGAAGGCGGGUUGCUGGGCUGACACUGACGCUGAGGCGCGAAAGCCAGGGGAGCGAACGGG